UGUGGUGAUGAUGGCCGAAAGGAUACACCUGUUCCCAUGCCGAACACAGUAGUUAAGCUUUCGCACGCCAAAAGUAGUUGGGGGAUCGCCCCCUGCAAGGAUAGGACGUUGCCACGC
rnacentral:rRNA from 1 species